ACGCAAUAGAUACCCGGGUAGUCCACGCCCUAAACGAUGUCUACUAGUUGUCGGGUCUUAAUUGACUUGGUAAACGCAGCUAAACGCGUGAAGUAGACCGCCUGGGGAGUACGGUCGCAAGAUUAAAACUCAAAGGAAUUGACGGGGACCCGCACAAGCGGUGGAUGAUGUGGAUUAAUUCGAUGCAACGCGAAAAACCUUACCUACCCUUGACAUGGAAGGAAUCCCUGAGAGAUCGGGGAGUGCUCGAAAGAGAACCUUUACACAGGUGCUGCAUGGCUGUCGUCAGCUCGUGUCGUGAGAUGUUGGGUUAAGUCCCGCAACGAGCGCAACCCUUGUCAUUAGUUGCUACGAAAGGGCACUCUAAUGAGACUGCCGGUGACAAACCGGAGGAAGGUGGGGAUGACGUCAAGUCCUCAUGGCCCUUAUGGGUAGGGCUUCACACGUCAUACAAUGGUACAUACAGAGGGCCGCCAACCCGCGAGGGGGUAGCUAAUCCCAGAAAGUGUAUCGUAGUCCGGAUUGUAGUCUGCAACUCG
rnacentral:rRNA from 1 species